GGGACCCGCACAAGCGGUGGAGCAUGUGGUUUAAUUCGAAGCAACGCGAAGAACCUUACCAAAUCUUGACAUCCUUUGACCGCUCUAGAGAUAGAGUUUUCCUCUUCGGAGGACAAAGUGACAGGUGGUGCAUGGUUGUCGUCAGCUCGUGUCGUGAGAUGUUGGGUUAAGUCCCGCAACGAGCGCAACCCUUGAACUUAGUUGCCAUCAUUCAGUUGGGCACUCUAAGUUGACUGCCGGUGACAAACCGGAGGAAGGUGGGGAUGACGUCAAAUCAUCAUGCCCCUUAUGAUUUGGGCUACACACGUGCUACAAUGGACAAUACAAAGGGCAGCGAAACCGCGAGGUCAAGCAAAUCCCAUAAAGUUGUUCUCAGUUCGGAUUGUAGUCUGCAACUCGACUACAUGAAGCUGGAAUCGCUAGUAAUCGUAGAUCAGCAUGCUACGGUGAAUACGUUCCCGGGUCUUGUACACACCGCCCGUCACACCACGAGAGUUUGUAACACCCG
rnacentral:rRNA from 1 species